rnacentral:rRNA from 1 species
CGGUAAUUCCAGCUCCAAUAGCGUAUAUUAAAGUUGCUGCAGUUAAAAAGCUCGUAGUUGGAUUUGUGGCGCGGUCGUCCGGCGGGGUUUCCAAGGUCAUCGUACCUCGGGGCCGUUUGUCCGGUUUUUUGGCCGCCCCAUUCUUCGGUAGCGUGUCGCUGGCAUUAGGUUGUCGGCUUCUUCGCGCCGAUCGUUUACUGUGAAAAAAUUAGAGUGUUCAAAGCAGGCUUAGGCCGUUGGAUACAUUAGCAUGGAAUAAUGAGAUAGGGCCACGGCGGUCUAUUUUGUUGGUUUGCACGUUGUGGUAAUGAUUAACAGGAACGGUUGGGGGUAUUCGUAUUCAAUUGUCAGAGGUGAAAUUCUUGGAUUUAUGGAAGACGAACUACUGCGAAAGCAUUUACCAAGGAUGUUUUCAUUAAUCAAGAACGAAAGUUAGGGGAUCGAAGAUGAUUAGAUACCAUCGUAGUCUUAACCAUAAACUAUGCCGACUAGGGAUUGGCGGUCGUUAACUUAAAGGACUCCGUCAGCACCUUCCGAGAAAUCAAAGUCUUUGGGUUCCGGGGGGAGUAUGGUCGCAAGGCUGAAACUUAAAGAAAUGAC